rnacentral:rRNA from 1 species
GUCUAUGGCCAUGCUACCCUGAAUAAGCCUGAUCCCGUCUGAUCUCAGAAGCUAAGCCAGGUCAGGCCUGGUUAUUACUUGGUUGGGAGACCACUUAGGAAAACCAGGUGCUGUAGGCA